UACGUAGGGGGCAAGCGUUGUCCGGAAUUAUUGGGCGUAAAGAGCGUGUAGGCGGUCCGGUAAGUCAGCUGUGAAAGUCAAGGGCUCAACCCUUGAAAGCCGGUUGAUACUGUCGGGCUAGAGUCCGGAAGAGGCGAGUGGAAUUCCCGGUGUAGCGGUGAAAUGCGCAGAUAUCGGGAAGGAACACCAAUGGCGAAGGCAGCUCGCUGGGACGGUACUGACGCUGAGACGCGAAAGCGUGGGAGCAACAGGAUAGAACCGU
rnacentral:rRNA from 1 species